AAAUCAGGUAGGAGUACCCGCUGAACUUAAGCAUAUCAAUAAGCGGAGGAAAAGAAACCAACCGGGAUUGCCUUAGUAACGGCGAGUGAAGCGGCAAAAGCUCAAAUUUGAAAUCUGGUACCUUCGGUGCCCGAGUUGUAAUUUGGAGAGGGCAACUUUGGGGCCGUUCCUUGUCUAUGUUCCUUGGAACAGGACGUCAUAGAGGGUGAGAAUCCCGUGUGGCGAGGAGUGCGGUUCUUUGUAAAGUGCCUUCGAAGAGUCGAGUUGUUUGGGAAUGCAGCUCUAAGUGGGUGGUAAAUUCCAUCUAAAGCUAAAUAUUGGCGAGAGACCGAUAGCGAACAAGUACAGUGAUGGAAAGAUGAAAAG
rnacentral:rRNA from 1 species